GGAUUGGCAGCGCUCAGGGACAGCUUUCUGGCCCGGUCUGCAGGCUGGUGGAAAAGCAGAUUGCUCUUUUGGGAAAGUGGCAAAGCUUCAGGCUGGCUGGUCACCUCUGCAGCGGUCCAGGUCAGGUUUUCUUCUUCAGUUCAAAAAAGGGAGUGUGAAAGCUCUGCUGGAUUUAGAGCUAAUGGAUUAAGAGGACUUGCACGCCUCACUUCUGUCUUGACAGAUGUCCACUCCAAAUAAGAUUUUAAGCUCAUUAGGAGAUCCAAAGGAAGAGACUGUAUUUUGUAACCUUUCUGAAGGGAAACUACUUGAACAGGCCUGUAAAUGUCAUUGGAUACUCCUUAACCAAGACAAAGGUGACUUUGACUGGGCACAUGCCCCCUGGAGAGACACAAAACCAAAUGGCUUAGAGAUGGCUGCUGGACUUCUGCCUUGAAGGUCUUCAAAACUUUCCCCUACUUGCAAGUGACAAGCUGUUUGCUUUUUCCUUCUAAGACUUCCCAACAAGAUUUAGAUUUAUUUUCUUCCCCUCAGAUGAUCAUUCUUGGAAAGUAUUUUUCUUUCUCUCUUCUAAAUUGCUGAAAAUCCAAGCUGCGUGAUAACAGACCGGGGCUCAGUUCUCUUAACUGCAAGACUUAUGGGUUAAAACUCUAAGGAAAAUAAGCUAACAAAAAUGCAGAUGCAUUUCUGGGACACCCUCCCCCCAAAAAAUCCCACCAAUAA